UGAUAUAGCUCAGUUGGUAGAGCCGAUGAUUUGUAAUCAGCAGGUCGUGGGUUCGAGUCCCUCUAUCA
rnacentral:tRNA from 1 species